rnacentral:rRNA from 1 species
GACGAACGCUGGCGGCGUGCCUAAUACAUGCAAGUCGAGCGAAGUUUUUCUGGUGCUUGCACUAGAAAAACUUAGCGGCGAACGGGUGAGUAACACGUAAAGAACCUGCCUCAUAGACUGGGACAACUAUUGGAAGCGAUAGCUAAUACCGGAUAACAGCAUUAACUGCAUGGUUGAUGUUUAAAAGUUGGUUUUGCUAACACUAUGAGAUGGCUUUGCGGUGCAUUAGCUAGUUGGUGGGGUAAAGGCCUACCAAGGCGACGAUGCAUAGCCGACCUGAGAGGGUGAUCGGCCACACUGGGACUGAGACACGGCCCAGACUCCUACGGGAGGCAGCAGUAGGGAAUCUUCCGCAAUGGGCGAAAGCCUGACGGAGCAACGCCGCGUGAGUGAAGAAGGAUUUCGGUUCGUAAAGCUCUGUUGUUAGGGAAGAAUGAUUGUGUAGUAACUAUACACAGUAGAGACGGUACCUAACCAGAAAGCCACGGCUAACUACGUGCCAGCAGCCGCGGUAAUACGUAGGUGGCAAGCGUUGUCCGGAAUUAUUGGGCGUAAAGCGCGCGCAGGUGGUUUAAUAAGUCUGAUGUGAAAGCCCACGGCUCAACCGUGGAGGGUCAUUGGAAACUGUUAAACUUGAGUGCAGGAGAGAAAAGUGGAAUUCCUAGUGUAGCGGUGAAACGCGUAGAGAUUAGGAGGAACACCAGUGGCGAAGGCGGCUUUUUGGCCUGUAACUGACACUGAGGCGCGAAAGCGUGGGGAGCAAACAGG